CCUACGGGCUGCACCAGUGGGGAAUAUUGCACAAUGGGCGCAAGCCUGAUGCAGCCAUGCCGCGUGUAUGAAGAAGGCCUUCGGGUUGUAAAGUACUUUCAGCGGGGAGGAAGGUGUUGUGGUUAAUAACCGCAGCAAUAGACGUUACCCGCAGAAGUAGCACCGGCUAACUCCGUGCCAGCAGCCGCGGUAAUACGGAGGGUGCAAGCGUUAAUCGGAAUUACUGGGCGUAAAGCGCACGCAGGCGGUCUGUCAAGUCGGAUGUGAAAUCCCCGGGCUCAACCUGGGAACUGCAUUCGAAACUGGCAGGCUAGAGUCUUGUAGAGGGGGGUAGAGUUCCAGGUGUAGCGGUGAAAUGCGUAGAGAUCUGGAGGAGUACCGGUGGCGAAGGCGGCCCCCUGGACAAAGACUGACGCUCAGGUGCGAAAGCGUGGGGAGCAAACAGGAUUAGAUACCCGAGUAGUC
rnacentral:rRNA from 1 species